UGGGGAAUUUUGGACAAUGGGGGAAACCCUGAUCCAGCCAUCCCGCGUGUGCGAUGAAGGCCUUCGGGUUGUAAAGCACUUUUGGCAGGAAAGAAACGUCAUGGGUUAAUACCCCGUGAAACUGACGGUACCUGCAGAAUAAGCACCGGCUAACUACGUGCCAGCAGCCGCGGUAAUACGUAGGGUGCAAGCGUUAAUCGGAAUUACUGGGCGUAAAGCGUGCGCAGGCGAUUCGGAAAGAAAGAUGUGAAAUCCCAGAGUUCAACUUUGGAACUGCAUUUUUAACUACCGGACUAGGGUGUGUGAGAGGGAGGUGGAAUUCAGCGUGUAGAAGUGAAAUGCGUAGAUAUGCGGAGGAAAACCGAUGGCGAAGGCAGCCUCCUGGGAUAACACUGACGCUCAUGCACGAAAGCGUGGGGAGCAAACAGG
rnacentral:rRNA from 1 species